rnacentral:lncRNA from 1 species
GGGGUUAUUGGCAGGGGUGGGGCUGAGACACAUGAAUCAAUGUUGCAGCUGGAGGAAGCUAGGCACCUUCAGCAUCCCUGACAGAGGCACAUGCUCACAGGCCUGCCACCCUCCCAUCAGGCCACAGGACAGCCAAGGGGUGCUGGCACCUCAGGAAUCCCAACCAGGCUUCCUGAGUGGUCAGCCGCAGGUGGAGGGGCAGGUUGACAACCUGCUUUUGCACCUGUGGCCGAUAGUGACUUCCAUGACAGUGAUCUCAACGGAAUGCAGCACUAACUCUCUUUCCAUGGAAUCAUCUAAGCAUGUUUUAUAUUUUAAAAGGAAAAGAAGCCAGGCGCAGUGGCUCACUCCUGUAAUCCCAGCACUUUGGGAGGCCCAGGUGGGAGAUCCUUUGAAGCAAAGAGUUCAAGCCCUCCUUUGGCUCCAUUGCCUUCCUACCCAACCCGACGUCCAAGGUUGUUCAUAUCUGCCUCCCACUGGACCAGAACAACAACAAAGAUCUAACUAGGCUUCCAGGAAAAAUUUAAAGAAAAAACAAGAUUAUCAUUCUAUGCAUGGAAACUGCAUGAAUAAUUAAUUUGCAGAGAUUUGAUAAAUUUUAUUCACAAAUACUCUGUGGUUUACUGAGAGUUAUUAACUCAAGCUGUAUUUUUAGACAGAGCCUGGAAGGGUGCUGCAGGUCAGUGUAAGUCCUGAAAAAGUGAUCAGAUGUCAACAGAAUAAAUGAGGCAUGCUUUG